rnacentral:rRNA from 10 species
AGGAGUGGAGCCUGCGGCUUAAUUUGACUCAACACGGGAAACCUCACCAGGCCCGGACACCGGAAGGAUUGACAGAUUGAGAGCUCUUUCUUGAUUCGGUGGGUGGUGGUGCAUGGCCGUUCUUAGUUGGUGGAGCGAUUUGUCUGGUUAAUUCCGAUAACGAACGAGACUCUAGCCUGCUAACUAGGCGUAUUUCGACAUCCCAAAGGCCCGCCGGUUUGGGGUUCCGACUCCUCUCCGCGCGCGGUUUUUACUGUCGGCGUACAAACAAUUCUUCUUAGAGGGACAGGCGGCUUCUAGCCGCACGAGAUUGAGCAAUAACAGGUCUGUGAUGCCCUUAGAUGUUCUGGGCCG